CUGGCGUGAUACCCUCUCCUCCUUCCCACAGGAUCCAACAUGGCCCAGAAGGUCACCCAGACUCAACCAGAAAUGUCUGUGCAUGAGGCAGAGACUGUGACCCUGGACUGCACGUUUGAUACUAGUGACAGUAAUUAUUAUUUGUUCUGGUACAAACAGCCUCCCAGCAGGGAGAUGGUUCUCAUUAUUCGCCAAGAAGCUAAUAAGCAAGAGAAUGCAACAAAUAAUCGCUUCUCUGUGAACUUCCAGAAGGCAGACAAAUCCUUCAGUCUCAGGAUCUCAGCCGCCCAGCUGGAGGAUGCUGCGAUGUAUUUGUGUGCUCUCAUGGAGGGCACAGUGACAGGAGUAACAGAGGGAGGUUUACAGAAACCUCAGACCUCAGCAUCUGUGCAGAGGUCAGGGGAAGGGGGAGUGUGAGUGGUUGGGGUACCAGGAGCAUAGAGAGGGAAUCAUCAGCUUCUCCAGAGAAAAAACAUACUAUUCUAUCGAACCAGAGGAAACACAGAAAAGAUGUCUGUAAGCCUUAGUAAUUCUCAAAAUAGUAAUAAAAAUAACUGGUCCCUCAACAUGGAAUGCCCAUCCCCACUCAGCCACUUCUCUAGUGUUCAAGGUGUUCUGAAGUGUCUCCUCUUCUCAAAGUCCUUGUCCCCAACUUGCCCAGGUAGUGCUGACCAUUUCCUCUUUUUUCCCUUAGGUUUUCAACCCUAAGCGUAUUCUUUGUUUGUUUGUUUGUUUGUUUGUUUGUUUUAAGAGCAAGCUUUACUUAUUAGAGACUGAAUUUUAUUCAUUUCAAUGGCAACAGUACCUACAAUAUUCCUUAAUUCACAGAUAGGAUUUUUUUUAAUGAAGUUAA